GUCAAUUGAAAAGUUAAAAAGUUCUUCAUGGUUAGGAUGAGCUUAUUAUGUUAUGGAUUGAAGGCAUAAUUUGAGAUUCAAGAGUAUAUUUCCUCCAAGAAGGGGCCUUUUCCUUUUCGUCUUGGGGAAUUCUUCAUUUUUGACGGGCACUGCACAAUGGAAGGGGGGAAUUGGUUCAAUCGGAAAGAACAUAGUGGAGAGAGGUUAAAUGUGAAUGAAAGUGAACUCGAUACCUUCAUUAGAUUGUUGGAAGAUGCAAAAAAAGAGCUCUAUCCAGGCAACUAGUUUUACUCCAAGCUGAUUAAGAACUUGCAGAGCAGCAACUUCAAACAAGAGGGCUAUAUGAGGAUUUGAUUGCCCAAAUG